CAACAACAGGCUUCCCUGAGCCCCCUUGGCUCACACCAGCAGCAACGCCGGGUUCCAUGUGCAGAUAAGUGAUCCAUCUCAGUCUCUCCCAGCUGACAGGGAGUUGAAGGUUCUACUCUUGGCCCUGAUCCUAAUACCAGUGCCAAUAAUCGAGCACCUACUAUUUGCAAAACAUUGGGCCAGGAACUUGACCACAUCCUCCCUUCAUCCUCAGAACAACCCGUUAGGGAGGGCCUCCCUGUCCCCAUUUUCUAGAUGAGGAAAUGGAGGCUUUAGAGCAGCUAACGUGGCUUAUACAACCUGCCUGCAGAACCUUCCAGGUCUGAGCUGAGGUGUCAUCUCUGAACACCAGGCUGCUGCACUAACCAGAAGACCCCUCCCCACCUGCAGUGGCCUCGCUGCAUCGUAAGGAUGGAGGAGCUGUUGUCUCCACAGCUGACAGUUCUAGAAACUGAG
rnacentral:lncRNA from 1 species